UCUUCAGGGGCAGGGUGAAAUUCCCGACCGGUGGUAUAGUCCACGACCCGUCGUACUGCGGCGGUUGAAUCGGUGCAAUUCCGAUACCGACAGUAAAGUCUGGAUAAAGAAGA
rnacentral:ncRNA from 1 species